rnacentral:rRNA from 1 species
UACGGAGGGUGCAAACGUUGCUCGGAAUCACUGGGCGUAAAGCGCACGUAGGCGGCUUCUUAAGUCAGGGGUGAAAUCCUGGAGCUCAACUCCAGAACUGCCUUUGAUACUGAGAAGCUUGAGUCCGGGAGAGGUGAGUGGAACUGCGAGUGUAGAGGUGAAAUUCGUAGAUAUUCGGAAGAACACCAGUGGCGAAGGCGACUCACUGGCCCGAUACUGACGCUGAGGCGCGAAAGCCAGGGGAGCAAACGGGG